GAUGAACGCUGGCGGCGUGCCUAAUACAUGCAAGUCGAGCGAACGGACGAGAAGCUUGCUUCUCUGAUGUUAGCGGCGGACGGGUGAGUAACACGUGGAUAACCUACCUAUAAGACUGGGAUAACUUCGGGAAACCGGAGCUAAUACCGGAUGAUAUUUUGAACCGCAUGGUUCAAAAGUGAAAGACGGUCUUGCUGUCACUUAUAGAUGGAUCCGCGCUGCAUUAGCUAGUUGGUAAGGUAACGGCUUACCAAGGCAACGAUGCAUAGCCGACCUGAGAGGGUGAUCGGCCACACUGGAACUGAGACACGGUCCAGACUCCUACGGGAGGCAGCAGUAGGGAAUCUUCCGCAAUGGGCGAAAGCCUGACGGAGCAACGCCGCGUGAGUGAUGAAGGUCUUCGGAUCGUAAAACUCUGUUAUUAGGGAAGAACAUAUGUGUAAGUAACUGUGCACAUCUUGACGGUACCUAAUCAGAAAGCCACGGCUAACUACGUGCCAGCAGCCGCGGUAAUACGUAGGUGGCAAGCGUUAUCCGGAAUUAUUGGGCGUAAAGCGCGCGUAGGCGGUUUUUUAAGUCUGAUGUGAAAGCCCACGGCUCAAUCGUGGAGGGUCAUUGGAAACUGGAAAACUUGAGUGCAGAAGAGGAAAGUGGAAUUCCAUGUGUAGCGGUGAAAUGCGCAGAGAUAUGGAGGAACACCAGUGGCGAAGGCGACUUUCUGGUCUGUAACUGACGCUGAUGUACGAAAGCGUGGGGAUCAAACAGGAUUAGAUACCCUGGUAGUCCACGCCGUAAACGAUGAGUGCUAAGUGUUAGGGGGUUUCCGCCCCUUAGUGCUGCAGCUAACGCAUUAAGCACUCCGCCUGGGGAGUACGACCGCAAGGUUGAAACUCAAAGGAAUUGACGGGGACCCGCACAAGCGGUGGAGCAUGUGGUUUAAUUCGAAGCAACGCGAAGAACCUUACCAAAUCUUGACAUCCUUUGACAACUCUAGAGAUAGAGCCUUCCCCUUCGGGGGACAAAGUGACAGGUGGUGCAUGGUUGUCGUCAGCUCGUGUCGUGAGAUGUUGGGUUAAGUCCCGCAACGAGCGCAACCCUUAAGCUUAGUUGCCAUCAUUAAGUUGGGCACUCUAAGUUGACUGCCGGUGACAAACCGGAGGAAGGUGGGGAUGACGUCAAAUCAUCAUGCCCCUUAUGAUUUGGGCUACACACGUGCUACAAUGGACAAUACAAAGGGCAGCGAAACCGCGAGGUCAGGCAAAUCCCAUAAAGUUGUUCUCAGUUCGGAUUGUAGUCUGCAACUCGACUACAUGAAGCUGGAAUCGCUAGUAAUCGUAGAUCAGCAUGCUACGGUGAAUACGUUCCCGGGUCU
rnacentral:rRNA from 1 species